rnacentral:rRNA from 1 species
UCGGGAAUUUUGGGCAAUGGGCGAAAGCCUGACCCAGCAACGCCGCGUGAAGGAUGAAGUAUUUCGGUAUGUAAACUUCGAAAGAAUAGGAAGAAUAAAUGACGGUACUAUUUAUAAGGUCCGGCUAACUACGUGCCAGCAGCCGCGGUAAUACGUAGGGACCAAGCGUUGUUCGGAUUUACUGGGCGUAAAGGGCGCGUAGGCGGCAUGACAAGUCACUUGUGAAAUCUCUGGGCUUAACCCAGAACGGCCAAGUGAUACUGUCGCGCUAGAGUGCAGAAGGGGCAAUCGGAAUUCUUGGUGUAGCGGUGAAAUGCGUAGAUAUCAAGAGGAACACCUGAGGUGAAGACGGGUUGCUGGGCUGACACUGACGCUGAGGC